GGCGAGCUGGUCGGGCCGGCCUGGAAAUCCUCCCUGGCGGGGCGGGGCCAGAGGACCUCACCAAUCCCAGCGUAGACCUCCGGGCGCACCGGCCCCCACAGCUGUACCCUUGAAGGCAGGCCCGUGGGCGCUGGGCCCUUUAUAGCACCUGCCCUUUCUCUGAAACGUAAAAGGCGGAGCCAGUCUUGCUUCCCAGGCCUGGUCCUGGAGGCUCCUUUGCCAGGGCUCUGGAUCUCAGAAUGGAAGGGCCAGCAGGUGAAAUUGCACAUCUGUUGGGGGAUUUGUUUCUCUCUUCUCUCAGGUGUACCAGCCUUGGGGCCCUGGUGAGCUCUGGAGGAUGAACCCCUCAAGCCAAGGUCGGAGAGGAGGAUGUCUCAAGCUGCCUGGCUCCAGCAGCUGACCGGGCCCUGAGCCAGGGGCUGGAGGGACCUCCUUCCAGCGUCUUUGUCUGGGACCUGGAUCCAGGGACAAUUACAGUCAGGUUUCUGUUCAAGAUCAGGCCCCCUGCAGUAGAUGGCUAGAUCAUCUCGCUUUCUGUCCACACCAGCUUAACCCACGGCAGGCCAUAGCCCUGCUUAAAAAUAGCCCCGCUUGGGAUAUCCACCGCACGCCGGGAAGGCUGCCUGUAAAUAGCAAUGACCCAGCAGGAUUUUGGACAGCAGCCCUGCCAUUUCAAGGGAGCCUGCCUAGGCAUCUGGUGACCGUCACGUACUCAGCUUCUGAGGCCACGUGGACAUGACCAAUUGGUUCCUGUCUCUUCCUUCUCAGAGCCCAGCUCAUGCUCAGAGGACUUGAUGGAGCAAGGGGUGGAGCCCCAGGAAUAACCUUCUACCCAGUGUGGUUCUCCUUCAUUCUCUGAAGGAGUUUCCAUUUCUUUUAAACACGACCCAUGUUUAAAAAUAUCAUCUAUUUUACCUUUGCAUGGGGUACUGACAGGGAGAGCACGUGAGGGGGCCUUUUGGCGGGAUGGGAAGUUUCCUGAUUGGGGUGGUUAUAUAAAGAUUGGGACCAAUCAAAUUAAUUUCAUAAUCCUUUAAGGAGUCAAGACCCACCAGCUUGCAUAUUCUAUCAUCAGGGCAGUCUCGGUUUAUUCCUUCUCAAAAUAGCUCUUUUCCACACACACUUGUUUCAAGUCAGUUCAGGCACCAACUGAAAUAAAUCCAUUGACCCUGAAAUAGCCCAGCUCCCAGAUCCAGAAAAUUAUAAGGCUUUUAAAGAGCAUGGAAUUGUAGAUUUAAAGAAUGGCAGUUAUAGCAAAAACCUCCUUUUCCUCCCCAAUUGCCUAAUCAACAUUUAGGGCCCCCUCCACUCACCCGACCUCAACACCUUAUAUUUUAUAGAGUAAAUGUUUAUGUUAGUAAGGUCAGAAGAAAAAUUGGGUCAUUGUUGAGAAAAGAGGGUACCACCCUUCUUUUGGGGGACUGGUCCUCUUCAAGCUUAUUAUAAAGGUGGUGUGAUGGGGAUGAAAUCUCUACAAGGGACUCACAGUAGAAAUUCUGGCUUUCUGGAAAUCUUUCAAAUGCCAUCCCUGUCACAUGGCAUCUAUUCCCUUCUCAUCGUUACCAACUCCUUUUGAAGCUCUGGGGCUCUAGCCACACCAGGCUGCCCUGUGGCUGGCUUCUGCCAUAAGGGCAGGAACAGAAUUGAAGUGUGCGACUGCCAUAUCAUUUGCUUUAAAGGAAAAUGUCCUGGACUUAUUCUCUUUUCUGUUCCUGAGUCCAGCAGGAGUGUGGCUAGAGCAGGCCCCAGAUUUGACCUCGAAGGCAAGGAUGACGCCUUGUGGGAUGAGCAAGUAAUAGGAUGAAAGGAACCUGGGUUCCUCUGUCGCACCAGCCUGGAUUGCUCAUUUCAGAAUUGGGCAGGAGGGACCCCUUUCCUUAGUCUAUUCUUGUGUCCAGCAACUGUAACUUAAUUCCAUCAGCUCUAAAUGUUGCCACAACUUCAUAGAAGUUAAAGUAUUUUCAUAUAUAGUAAUCCAUAUAACCACUGCAGUUAUUUUAGGGGUAGACAGGAGUCUUAUUUCAGAAGCCCCUCCUAGGUGGAGCCUGGUGACUAUUAGGCCAGGACUCUACCCUGGCGGCUUCUCCUCUCUCCACCACCCAUUCAGGAGCGUUGAGCUGCUGUGCAAUGGACUGAGCUGUUCCAGGUAGUAGUGAGUUCUCUGUGCCUGGAGGUAUCAAAUAUAGGCUGGGGAUGUCACAGGAAGAAUCUAAGCACUGCAAAGAAAGUGUGAUUAGUUGAUCCUUCGUAUCAUUUCAAAGCUUUCCCCAAAUUCUUUGAAUUUUAGGGCCUCUUCUAAACUGUUUUUCUCCCUGAACUUUAGAAGUAAUAUUUAGAAGUAAAUAAUAUAUCUGAAGGAGUUCACUGCUAUGAAGAAGAUGUAAAAUAAAAAUAAAGCCCCUAGGCCCCCAAGCAAAACAAAACAGACUCAUUGUGGUAAAAAGAGACCCCAGGAAACAUUAAAAACCAGAUUCUACAGCUUUGGCAAGGCAAGAGGUCAGUCACACCCAACGCUCUCCCACCUCGAUAACUGCCUCAAGACUUUCUUUCCUAAAAUUAAACUAAAACCAGUUACUGAAAAACUAUGUCUGGAAGAUUUCUUCCUCAACUUCAACAGACAACCUGACGUGGCGAACCCCCCCUUCCCUCAACGCAGUUUCCCCCUGACAAGUGUUCAGCCUUACAAAGCACUCCAUCCUCAUAACUGACCACAGACCACAGCCGGUUCUGGCCGGUUUACAGAGAUUGCACACCAAGCGUCUUUGUGCCCUGUGUUCCAUCUUUUGACAUAUAGAGCCCAAUUUUACUACAUUUUAAGUCUCCAUCCCAAAGUGAACAUGGGUUGUAUGUAACAUGUAACAUAUAUGAUUACUGGCUAUGCAUGCAUUAGGGCCUCUCAUAAAUAUUCAUAAGAUUAUCCUAUAACCUACUAAAUGUAUAUGUAAGGCUCAUCUUGUUGGGCAUAAAUCUCAGCCUCUCCCUUUUUUAUCUGAAGUGCUUGCUUUUGGCUUUGGCCAGAGGCUCCAGCCUGCAGAUUGUAACCCUUUAUAAGAAAUUAAGUUCUAUUUUUUCUAAAUGUAUACAUUUCAUGGUUUUAAGUUGACAAUGUAGAAAAAUGGGGGGAAAAAGAGUUAAAUGAAGAAACCAGUGAGAUUUCUGAAUAUUCAAGAAAGGUGAAGUUUAAUUUGCAUAUAGGCAUAACCUACACCUCACUUGGCAAGUGUUAGGCCACAGCACAAACCCCUCUGUCCAAUCACAAAUGUCCACAAAUUUGCAAAGUAACUGGACACGAACGAUAUGCUUCUCAAACUCACACACAUAUUCGUCCAUCACACACACACUCAAAUGAUAAAGAAAUACAUUGAAAUCCUCUACAAAAGAGAUCUGAGGACAGUAAUCAGAUGACCUCAUGUGCGGACAGCACUUUGCAGUUUACAGUCUAAUCCAUUUGGUCCUCACAAUAGCCCUGUGAGAUAAGCAGCACAGGGAUUACUAUUCACACCGUUUUGCAGAUGAGGAAACUGAGGCUCAGGGAUGUGUAAACACCAGCCUAAGGUUUUCCAGUUGGAGACUGGGCCUAGGACUCAGGGCCGGGAUGCCUAGGCCAGCUCUCUUUCAUAACUGGCUUUCUAGUGAAAAAUGAAAUGAGCUGUGUAAAAACCAACAUCAUUAAGUAUAAUAGAACUAUUAUUUUCCUUGAGCAGAUCAGACUAGUGCUAUCAAUCCUAAUGUUAAUGUCAUGCUGCAUGGCAGCUGAGAUGAAUAAUUUUCUGAAUCGUUCAUGUGUUUAUACCUACAACAAAAUGACUGUUUUCCAUUUUGGCUCUGCCUCAUCUUAAUUUUAAGUCACCAAUGGCCGCUGAGAAAUGACACACUGAUUAGAUUUCAUUGACUUAAGUCUUCUAUUACACGGUGGUAUCUAUAAUGGAGCCAUUAAACUUACAAUCUGAUUUCUUACUGAAAUGAAAAAGAGUUUUAUUUAUUGAUUCCCUCUGUGCACAUUAGCCUGGCUAUACCCUUCAGCCAUAAAUAGUAUGUUCUCUUUUAUGCCUUUUCGAUAGUUGUAAAAAUAAUACAUUUUGCAAUUGGAUUUUUAAAAACCUUUAUACUUUAAAGUGAAGAGAUUUUUUUUCAAGGGGAUAAAAUCAAACUUUGAAAAAAAAAAGCUAAGUAAAAUCUCUUGCUUUUAAAUAAAAGUUAAUUUUAUUGGGAAUAAUCCCUGUAUUGCAUUACUCUUUUCAGUUAAGAAUUUAAAAGCUGCCCAAUCGCUGCUGGCCCAAAAGUCUCGUCUUAUACAAUAACAUGAGAGAAAGGGUGCUGAUCCAUCAUUAUUCACUCCACAUGGGACCAUAAUGGAUUUUUCUCUUCCAGGUGAUUCAGUUUCUCUGAGUUUCAUUUGUUUAUAAGUAGUACUUUAAGACGUACUGAAAUUUAACAAACAGUAAUGGGACUUGGUAUGAGAGCCACUUGAAAAUAUUGCAAUGGCCGUUUAAAAUUCCGUCUUUAAAUUCCUUCAGAAAAGCACUAAGGAAAAGUGACGACGUUUUACUUCAUGCCUGAAUCUGUCAAAUAAUAUAUUGGAUUAGGUAAGAGAUUUGUCCCUGUAGCAAAACUAGAUGUCUCAGUUAAUAACGAAAAGGCAUCCCCUAAAAGCUCCAAGAUAAUUUCGUUGACAGUACAAAAUGUGGGCAUUCAUUCGAAAGCAUGAAAUUGGAUUUUUCUUCUGAUUUUCUAGGUUAAUUUUACAGUAUACAUGUUCGCUACUUGGCUGUUAGAGGUUGACCUCCCAUCUCCUCUUAGAAAUGGGUCUCCAUAAUGGACUAGAGGCAGAUGCAGCUGGGAAUGCAUGCUUUGUGUGUAGGCAGAAGAGGAUGGGUACUUUAACGACCAGAAAAAACACUGCAAAUUGCUCUUGGGGAUUUUUAAUUUGACCAAAUUGAAGGGAUUUUAAAAUGUGCAUUCCUCUCCCAGCUGGCACACGAAUAGUGCAGGUCAUCAACAGACACUCCCUCAGAGGUGGAGCUCUCUCUCUUGCCCUCUUGCAGCUCCAGGAAGGCUGCAGACUCCAGAAAGUGGUGUAAUUCUCAAACAAAAAUGCGAAAGGCUAGUGAGUGGCACACCCCUGCAGUCCCAGCUGCUUGAGAGGCUGAGGCAGGAAGAUUGCUUGAGUCCAGGAGUUCGAGACCAGCCUGGGCAACAUGGUGAGACCCUGUUUUUCAAACAAACAAAAACCCCCUAAAAGUCAGCAUAGCAAUUGACAGUGCCUAAUAUGACCAGUGCGGGGCAGUUCCAACAUCCUGCAGGAAAUAGGCGCAAAAGCUUUGUCACUAGUUGAAGAAAAGCUGCGAUCCAAAAGGGAAGGAGCAUUUGGAAACUCCUGUCUUAUUUUUUGUUAAUAAGAAUGGCUGCAGUGUCUCUGGAACAUUUGGGUCAAAGAAAUGAGUCCGAACUUCCAGAAAAAGUGCACACAGAACCAUCCCUUUCCCUCUGAAGGACUCUGGCAACUCCAAGGCAGAGUAGAAUGCAUGCACCUUUCCACGUGUUGUUUGGCCCGAAACUAGUAUGUGUGUGGUCCUCUCACAGAUUUGUCCCGGUUUUAGUUCACCCUUCAGGACUAUGCUUUUGAGCCAUGAAAGCUAACCUUUACUUUUCUUCUGCAAGACCUUGAGGUGUUUGGUGCAACUGAUACAUAUUAUUUCAAACCCUCAGUUUCUGGAGCACUGAGAAAUAAAUCACAAGUUAUGCGUUGUUAGGAUCCAAACAGCCCAUGCUUCUCAUCAUGCAUCAAGAUGCGUCAACCUCUUAUUUGAAACUAAAGAGAACAAACAAGCAACUUUAAAAAAGAAAAAGAAAGCAUCCAUAAGGAACCCUCCUUGGGUUGAGUGCUACACUGUUGGCUAAUAUGAACUAUUGAAAAUAUUUUGGGAAUGGUCUUCAAAUAUUAUAUUUUCUUUUACUUAGUUGAUAUUUCACUAUAUAGUUACAUACAGAGAUGGCACUUACCGUGCAGAAAGUGUACAUUCUCUACCUCUAUGGUGCAUUACCAAUGCUAGCUCUUUCACUGAGUCUUAAGAGCCAGCAGGUGGAAUUUAUUAGUCUGUUAGCUCUAGCAACAUAAUUAAAGUGCAAGGAAAGAGGGAAAGCAGCCAGACAGAUCCAUUUUUCAUUGUCAGCAUCAAUAAGUUUCAUGCUGCUAAGAGAAAAUGUCAGGUGCAACAGGUUCAGGGAAAUAGAACUAUAUUUUUUCUCUUCCUUCUUUUAAAGCAGCAGUCUCCCUGAGAAGAGAAGAGGGAGGUAAACAAUGAGAUAGCCCUAUUUCUUCAACAACUGACAAUCUUGGGAAAAGGAAGGUCACUUCCCCAGCCUCAGGUAGCAGGACUAACCCUUGCAUUUGGUUUUGUAAUGUAAGAGCUGUUCGGUGGUUGGGCCCAUUUCCCAUGCACUUAUAAUAUUCUCAGAGAUCUCUCAACAUCAGUUUUUAAAGAAAGAGAUCUACGAACAGCAUAUGGAAGUGUGGGUUUUGAAAAGAAAAUUUCACUAAACUGUUUAAAAAAAAUACAGCCAAUGUUCAUAGUAAGCCUAAAAAAAGGUCUGUGUAAAUGAGAAUAGAUUCCUGCAGUACUAUGAGUGGGGAAAGAAAACAAACAAAGCAAGGUGCAGAGAUGAUUUUUAGGUAUAGAUUUUCACUCAGCACUGAAACCCAUGAUUCCCCACAGCACUUGGUGGCCUUCUGUUCCACAGUUUUGUCGGUGAGAUGGGCGUGCACCUUUUUGCAGCUGCCUCUCCAAAAGGGCUGGCUUCUUAGGACCAACAGUCUCAAGGAAAAGCUCCCCACCCACCUCAGCCAGCCACUGUCUGGAAUCCUCUGGGGCACAGCCUACUGCAUUUAAUUAAGGAAAUGUUACAUACAAAUCCAUUUGUGUUUCAUUCUUUCUUUCCUAUCCCAUUGCCUAAAGACUGGAAAGGCAGUUUCAGAAGGUACCAUUCCUCACAUAGAAAUAUUUAGAAUGCACUGACAACCAUGCACAUGCUGUAGACUGAAAUUGCUUAUGUUUUGGUCCAUCUCUGUAGAGGAAGUGUCAGCUUUUCUGUGAAGCUUAUACCAAAAGGAAAUGUAAUGGAACCAGUCAAAUCCUAGAAGAUUGGUAGGUGUGCCCAGGCCAGUAAAGCGCCAGAGAAACAUC
rnacentral:lncRNA from 1 species